rnacentral:rRNA from 1 species
UACGUAGGGAGCAAGCGUUGUCCGGAAUCAUUGGGCGUAAAGCGCGCGUAGGUGGCCCCAUAAGUCCGCUGUGAAAGUCAAAGGCUCAACCUUUGAAAGCCGGGUGGAUACUGUGGGACUAGAGUACGGAAGAGGCGAGUGGAAUUCCUGGUGUAGCGGUGGAAUGCGCAGAUAUCAGGAGGAACACCAAUAGCGAAGGCAGCUCGCUGGGACGUUACUGACACUGAGGCGCGAAAGCGUGGGGAGCGAACAGG